GGGGAUGUAGCUCAGCAGGGAGAGCGUGGCGUUCGCAACGCCGAGGUCAGGGGUUCGAAUCCCCUCAUCUCCA
rnacentral:tRNA from 1 species